CGGCAAACGCAUCUGAACUCGAACGGCGCGCGCGGACGAGACUGCGAACAAAAACGCGCGGCCUGGUGCAACGUGGAGCGGCCUUUCGGCAAUGACAUUUUCGGUUUUGCCGUGUUCGAUCACCCGACGAAUCCCAACCACCCAUCGGGCUGGCGAGUGGACGAGCAGGGACUCAUCAACCCGAACGUUUCGAUGCUCGGCGAUUGGUCCCUGCCCGCCGGCAAGGAACAAGUCUUCCACUACCGCAUUCUCGUUUACAAAGGACCGGCCUCCGCGGAAACGCUGAACCGGCCGUUCCAAGCCUUUGCGCGAGUUUCUUUCGGCGCGGCAAUGGCGCCGCGCCGAAAGCUUGCCGAUUAGAAAUCGGCGACGAGCUUUGGGUUCGGGCUGCGCCGGUCGGCGAAAUAUUCGGGCUGGCCCGGCCUCAGAUCAUCGUCAUCGGUUCCGGCGCGCGGGUGGGGGUCCGGGUUUUUUCCAAACAAUCCGUCAAGUAGGGGAGCAUUCGCAUCCGCGAUGAAGUCGUGUCGUGAGACAUGGUGGAGCGUUGCGAAGGGAGAAUGUUGGCAUAAGUAGCAUAAAGAGGGGUGAGAACCCCCUCCAUCGUAAACCCAAGGUUUCCUGGGCAACGCAAAUCGACCCAGGGUUAGUCGGGAGCUAAGGUGAGGCCGAGAGGCGUAACCGAUGCACAGCUGGUUCAUAUUCCAGCACCCUGUUUUCACCGAUGUGGGGACGCUUUGAGAAUCUUCCCGCGUCCUAUGGCUAUGACGUUGGGCGCGCGCAGGUGGCUGAUUGGCAAAUCCGUCAGCGUAAUCCAGUGCGUGAUCGCAAGCCGGCCGCAAGGCUGGCAAGGGGAGCGAAACUUGGAGCCAAGAAAAGCCGCUAGGGUUCAUGAAACACAGGCCCGUACCGGAAACCGACACAGGUGGGUGGGCGCGUAAUGUGCCAAGAUGUACGAGAGAACCCUCGUUAAGGAACUCGGCAAUUCAAUGGCCGUAACUUAGGGAUAAGGCCUGGUUGCCCCCGGGAGGGGGCGACCCGCAGCGAAAGACGCUAAGCGACUGUUUAUCAAAAACACAGGUUCGUGCUAAACCGUAAGGUGAUGUAUACGAGCUGAUGCCUGGCCAGUGUCCGAACGUUAAAGAAGGGGGUUAGCCGCAAGGCAAAGCCUUCGACUGAAGCGCGGAUGAACGCCGGCGAUAACUAUAGACACGAUUGUAGUUAUCUAAAAAAAUCUAGCUAUUUGCGGGAAACUCCGCCCAGACCAUCCGUACGUACAGGUAAAGCUGUUGUCACAAUCGGAUGGGUAACAUGGCCAAAUGCCAUUGGCGGACAAUCCGCAGGAAAGGCUUUCUAUGAAUAUUUCAGAUGCGUGGUUGAAAACGAUUCCUUCGAGAAUAGGAGAUUAUCUCGCAGGAUUUGCGGAUGGAGAAGGAAGCUUCAUUGUUUCCGUUCGUCAUCGAUCAGACCACGCCAUGGGAUGGCAAAUAGACAUGACAUUCAACGUGUCGCAAAAAGAACGGCACAUCCUUGCGUACUUUAAGCGGUAUCUCGGGUGCGGACGGUUUCAACAGCGACCCGACGGCGUCUUCUAUUAUGUCGUUUCAAACCAACGGUCCGUUUUAGAGCGGGUGAUCCCGUUUUUUGAGCGGUUCCCGUUCCUCUCACAAAGAAAGCAAUCCAAUUUCGCCAUUUUCAAAAAAAUAGCGUCGAUUGUUUCUAAAAAAGAACACCUUACACCUCAAGGACUUGAACAGAUCAUGCGUCUGCGCGAGCGCUUGAAUGAAGGGAGAGGAAGAACCAGAAAAUAUUCUUUGCAUGAUUACAAAGAAUCAUGCGAGAAAGAAUCCUCAGAGACUAUACGCUAGAAGCCAAAACUUGUUUGGUUAAGAUAGAGUCCGAUCUCAUGUGAAAACGUGAGCCCCGUAUUGCUCAACCGGGGAUUCGUAAAACGAAUUAACAGCAUAAAUCGUCCUAAGGUAGCGAAAUUCCUUGUCGGGUGAGUUCCGACCUGCACGAAUGGCAUAACGACUUAGCGACUCUCUCAACGAGGGACUCGGCGAAAUUGCAAGAUGAGUGAAGAUGCUCAUUAUCCGUGGUUAGACGAAAAGACCCCGUGAAGCUUUACUACAACUUGUUCUUGAAUUCAUGCUUCGCAUGUUGAGCGUAGGUGGGAGCUUCGGCGCCAAUGAGACACCACCCUUGCGCUGUGUGAAUUCUAACCAGAUACCGUGAAUCCGGUGUCAGGGACAGGAACUGGUGGGUAGUUUACCUGGGGCGGGUGCCUCCUAAAAGGUAACGGAGGCGUUUACAAAGGUCGGCUUGGAGCGGAUGGAAAUCGCUCUGGACGUGCAAACGCAAAAGCCGGCUUUACUGCAAGACUUACAAGUCGCGCAGUCGCGAAAGCGGAAGUUAGUGAUCCGACCGUACGAAGUAGGACGGCGGAAGCUCAUCGGAUAAAAGCUACUCCGGGGAUAACAGGCUGAUCCCUCCCAAGAGUCCACAUCGACGGAGGGGUUUGGCACCUCGAUGUCGGCUCAUCGCAUCCUGGGGCUGGCGAAGGUCCCAAUGGUUUGGCUGUUCGCCAAUUAAAGCGGUACGCGAGCUGGGUUCAGAACGUCGUGAGACAGUUCGGUCUCCUAUCUACUACACACGUCGAAUAUUGCGAGGACUCAUCCCUAGUAC
rnacentral:rRNA from 1 species